AUUGAACGCUGGCGGCGUGCCUAAUACAUGCAAGUAGGACGCAGUUGCGAACGGGUGAGUAACGCGUAGGUAACUGCCUCUUAGAGGGGGAUCACUAUUGGAAACGAUCGCUAAUACCGCAUACUAGUAGAUGGACCUGCGUUGUAUUAGCUAGUAGGUAGGGUAAUGGCCUACCUAGGCGACGAUACAUAGCCGACCGGAGAGGGGGAUCGGCCACACUGGGACUGAGACACGGCCCAGACUCCUACGGGAGGCAGCAGUAGGGAAUCUUCGGCAAUGGGGGGAACCCUGACCGAGCAACGCCGCGUGAGUGAUGAAGGUUUUCGGAUCGUAAAGCUCUGUUGUUAAGGAAGCGGUACUUAACCAGAAAGGGACGGCUAACUACGUGCCAGCCGCCGCGGUAAUAC
rnacentral:rRNA from 1 species